GUCGGAGAAAAAAGGGUUAUGUCCCUUGUAACAGAACAGAGAAGAAGAAGCAGAAGAGGAACACGAGCAGUCAGGUGCUGGUGGAGGAUGAUGAGUUAAUGAGCCGGGAACAGCUGCGGAAGAAGCUGAAGAACCGGAACACCAGUAUCACAGUAUCAGGCAAACGUCGACAAAAGAUGUUGAAGCGGCUCCGCCACACAGUGAAAGAUGACAGCAAGUUGAUACAAGUGGAUGCUGAAAUGGAGGAGGAACCAAAACAGAAGAAGAGCAA